rfam:Bacillus weihaiensis strain Alg07 chromosome, complete genome.
AACCCUUUUAAAGAUAGUCCAGAGAGGCUACAAAGGGGAGCAUGAAGAAUCAAGCCAUCCAUAUGGCUUGGUAUCCUUCUUGAACCUCUUUGUCCUCAUGCAAAGAGGUUUUUUAUU